GGAUGUGAGAUGAUGAAUGAUUAAUUUCCCUAUUGGUUUGAUUGGCUGAUAUGAUGGCCUCAAUACUGAACCGAGUCUGAUCCUCAUCC
rfam:Triticum aestivum genome assembly, contig: Triticum_aestivum_CS42_TGACv1_scaffold_424525_5BS